rnacentral:tRNA from 1 species
GCGCCCUUAGCUCAGUGGAUUAGAGCGUCUGGCUACGAACCAGAAGGUCGGGAGUUCGAGUCUCUCAGGGCGCG